AUACCUGAAGGGAGAGGCAGAUGACGUUUUUAAUUCCUUUUUUUCCCUAGUCCUGCCUGCUCCCUCGGCAGCCACCAGUCUACUUGUCGGGUAUGAAAAGGAGGUCCUUAGCCCUGGUGAUGGAGGCUGCUGCAGCUACAGGACUACCUGUGUCUUUAGUUAAGAACUGGAUUUGUAACUAUGGGUGUUCACUUAAUACCUCCUGCAACAAAGCUGCUGGUUAUAAGUGCAGUGUCUGCCUAUAACUUGUUUUGCGCAGAGCUGCUGAAGGGACUUUCCUUUCUCUAUAUAUUUCAGUCCUUCUACCCUCUCUCUCAAUUCUCUCUUUCCCAGGGCAUGGAGGGAUAUCAACAUCUCAUUCUUGAUGACAGCACCACUGUACAUUCCACAACUGGAGUGAUUUCACAUAUUUUCAGGGCACAAGACUGGGAUUUAAGGAGAGCCAUAGAGAGAGGGAGGGAGAGAGGGAGAGGGGAGAGAGAGAGAGAGAGAGAGAGAGAGAGAGUAAGUAAGUACUGGGUGACAUCUCCUGUCUCUCCCUAUCUAUGUUUCCACGUGGUGGCCUGGGCUAGCCCCCUGCUGACUCACACUCGUUUGUUGAUCUAAUGUGACUACCAUCCACUUCACCCCCCCUUUCUUCUACCCCCACUCCUCCGAAAGACCGCUGGGCCGUUCCACGAAAAGAGCGCAUUUGGAUAUUUUAAGUCGAAAUUUAAAACCCUGUUAUAUUAAAUGAAGGGCCCUUUAAUAUAGACUACAUGAAUAAAGGCUUGCUAAAGUGUCAAAAUUCUGCAUUUUGACUUCUCCACUGGAUGUCAUAAGGUGAAUGCACCAAUUUGUAAGUCGCUCUGGAUAAGAGCGUCUGCUAAAUGACUUAAAUGUAAAUGUAAAUUUGAAAAUUUGUAAAUGUCCCUCCUUUAAAGGUCAACUUGUUACUCUCCUUUUAAUAUGGUGAAACUAUUCAUUUUGAGAAAAAAAAAAUCAAAAGAAACAUUGAACAUCUAAUAGUCAAAUCGUUGCGUAAAAGCAGUUCAGCUGGUUCUUCUUUUUUUUUGUGCCAAUUUUCUGUUAUUUUUUGGUGGAAAACUGAGCUGGUCGAGCAUAGCACAUCAACCCUGUUACCCAUAGAUAAGCUAGAAAUGUUUAAACAAUUUCAUUUGUUUUUAUGUGAAGCUUGCAUUCAAUUGCCACUCCCUGUUGCACAUAACAAGCUUCCAUUCCUCCUGUCACAAGGGGAUUUAUGUAUGAUUUAAUUAAGAAUAAAUAGUCAACCCUG